AUUGAACGCUGGCGGAAUGCUUUACACAUGCAAGUCGAGCGGCAGCGCGGGGCAACCUGGCGGCGAGCGGCGAACGGGUGAGUAAUACAUCGGAACGUGCCCAGACGUGGGGGGAUAACUACUCGAAAGAGUGGCUAAUACCGCAUACGAUCUAAGGAUGAAAGCGGGGGAUCGCAAGACCUCGCGCGUUUGGAGCGGCCGAUGGCAGAUUAGGUAGUUGGUGGGGUAAAGGCUUACCAAGCCCGCGAUCUGUAGCUGGUCUGAGAGGAUGAUCAGCCACACUGGGACUGAGACACGGCCCAGACUCCUACGGGAGGCAGCAGUGGGGAAUUUUGGACAAUGGGCGAAAGCCUGAUCCAGCCAUUCCGCGUGCAGGAUGAAGGCCCUCGGGUUGUAAACUGCUUUGUACAGAACGAAAAAGACUCUUUCUAAUACAGAGAGUCCAUGACGGUACUGUAAGAAUAAGCACCGGCUAACUACGUGCCAGCAGCCGCGGUAAU
rnacentral:rRNA from 1 species